rnacentral:tRNA from 1 species
UGGGGUGUGGCUCAGCGGUAAAGCACUUGCCUCCCACGUGCGAGGUACUGGGUUCAAUCCUCAGCACCACAU